CCUACGGGUGGCAGCAGUGGGGAAUAUUGGACAAUGGGCGAAAGCCUGAUCCAGCCAUGCCGCGUGUGUGAAGAAGGUCUUCGGGUUGUAAAGCACUUUCAGUGGGGAAGAAAGCCUUGGGGCUAAUACCCUCUUGGAAGGACAUCACCCACAGAAGAAGCACCGGCUAACUCCGUGCCAGCAGCCGCGGUAAUACGGAGGGUGCGAGCGUUAAUCGGAAUUACUGGGCGUAAAGCGCGCGUAGGCGGUCUGAUAAGCCGGUUGUGAAAGCCCCGGGCUCAACCUGGGAACGGCAUCCGGAACUGUCAGGCUAGAGUGCAGGAGAGGAAGGUAGAAUUCCCGGUGUAGCGGUGAAAUGCGUAGAGAUCGGGAGGAAUACCAGUGGCGAAGGCGGCCUUCUGGACUGACACUGACGCUGAGGUGCGAAAGCGUGGGUAGCAAACAGGAUUAGAUACCCGAGUAGUC
rnacentral:rRNA from 1 species